rnacentral:tRNA from 1 species
ACCGAUUGAGCGCAGCGGGUGACGCCAUCUGAUUCAGAGUCAGUGACCGAGAGGUCGGACAGGUUCGAGUCCUGUAAUCGGUA